UACGUAGGGUGCAAGCGUUAAUCGGAAUUACUGGGCGUAAAGCGUGCGCAGGCGGUUUUGCAAGACAGAUGUGAAAUCCCCGGGCUCAACCUGGGAACUGCAUUUGUGACUGCAAGGCUAGAAUCUGGCAGAGGGGGGUAGAAUUCCACGUGUAGCAGUGAAAUGCGUAGAUAUGUGGAGGAAUACCGAUGGCGAAGGCAGCCCCCUGGGCUAAGAUUGACGCUCAUGCACGAAAGCGCGGGGAGCAAACAGG
rnacentral:rRNA from 1 species